GAGGCCGACUGGGGCAGUGACGGCCUUCUGCUCCUCCAAGUAGGACUCCCAGGACCAGCCUUCCUUCUUCUCCCGCGACACUGCAGAGACAAGACAGCCAGGCUGGCUCCUGGGUUACCUCCAAGACAUGGACAAUCUUCCUCGGUUUCCCAGAUUGAGCUCUGUCUUAACCUCUAUCUUAAUCUCCAAGCAAACCUUUAUUUGUCCACAUGUGUACCUCUUAUCACACUCAGCUAUGACAGUGCCGGGCACAGGGGGGCUCAGAUUCUGUUUGUUCUUCCUCCACCGCCAAGCCACUGUCAGCAGAAGCUCUUUGGAUUAUACAGCAACUAAGGUCACAAAGUCUCAGCCACUCUGUCCUUGGAAACAUGCAGGGUGAGGAUUAGUGAUGAAACCUAAGCCAGAGGACUUAAUCAUACCGCUACCUAAGCUCACAAAGGGAAGAGGAAGUAGAGAGUCAGAGGGAGAACAGGUCGGAAAAAGUGAAGGCGAGAACACACAGAAAUAAACCUUUCUAAAGAUUGUUUUCUUAAGUACUUACAGGCAUAGACAUACAUGUGGGUGUGAGCCUAAUGUGCUCCAGUACGUGGACCAAUUCUAGUCUUCCCAGACAUGUACGUGCUUAGGGUGAGCAUAUAUGUGUGUGAUGGGUACAUGCAUUCAUGGACAUGAGCGUGUGCAAACACACACACACACACACACACACACACACACACACACACACACACACACACACAAAUACUACAGUUCAGGUCCUGUUCAUACCCUUAUGAGUGCCUGGGGCAGGAGGGAUGGGAAGUUUUCCUGCUGGUAGAUUCCUGGCCUCCAUGCACAGGACACCUUAAAGGCUAUGACUACCAGUCACCCAGAAGGUAGGCUGACCUGCUCAGCUGAGCUGCUUUCCACUGAAGGCCACAGACAAUCAGAGACUCAACACUGUAUAAGAAUUGGCUUAUAUUUUGGGUGGAAACAGCUCUAAUUUCUGGAAAUGGACUCAGUUUUGUGAUGCUAUCUACUAUAGAGCGCUUGUGAGGAUUCUGUAACAUGUGGUCCAGAAAUACCUUAUGAAAUACCAAGACUAGAGUCAGGUUACUGAUUCUUUCUGCUCUUACUCAAGACUGACUGAGCCAGCUCCUCCUUGCUCUGGUUCACUCAGCGUUGGGUCAUUCAAGCUUGUGGUGGUGUGUUGCUCAGGAAGAUGGUUUGUUCCUCAGUGGAACUCAAGUUUGUUCUACAGCUGCCUAAAUUCCUCAGUCACUGUACCAAACCUUGAGCUCCCAAUGACCUGACCCAACUGGGCUAAGACAAAUAUUGAUCAGUUCAUCAACUGAUCAAUCAAGCUAUCAAACUCUCUCGGAGAUUGAUGUCAAUGCCAAAUAUCUAGUGAACAUCUCUUCAGGGCAUCCUUUGUCCCGAGUAAGACUUCUACUACACUCCUCCAGAACUCCCCUAGCUCUUUUUGUUUCAUUUGGUUUUUCGAGACAGGGUUUCUCUGUGUUGCUUUGGUGCAUGUCCUGGAGCUCGCUCUGUAGACCAGGCUGGCCUUGAACUCACAGAGAUGCGCCUGACUCUACCUCUCGAGUGCUGGGAUUAAGGUGUGCGCCACCGCCGCCCGUCUUCUCCCCUAGCUCUUUACACAGCUUUAUACAGCUUCAUAAAUACUCACUGAGCAGGGGCACAGAGAAACAAAAUCAGAGCUCAGGAUGCCAGGCUAUUCAUGUUGGUGUUUUUUUUUUUUUUUUUUUUUGGCCGCUGGGAUACCACACCACCCUAUCUGACUCUUUAUUUUAUCCAGAUGACCACUGCUAUGGCCAAGCAACAUCCAGGUCUUUCUCCCUGGAUAACACCCCGUUUGCCUUCCCUUCCCCAAGCUGUGGCACAAGCUCAGUCAGCAGCUGAGAGCUUGCCAGCAUUCUCAUCUCAGGCACCUUUAUUGCUCCUAGGCCCUUCGGUCCUGAGUUCACUCCCCUUUACCCCUCCUCUAACACAGCCAAGCUGUAAGACACACACCCGACGCCGUAGCAGACGUUUCUCACAGGCACUUUGGUGAUCUGUUUGCUCUUACACCACCAGUCCUCCUUCACAUCACUGCCUUCCCUGCGCCAGUACUUAACUUUUAAUUUUUUAAAAAUGUAUAUGGUGUCUUACCUGCAUGUCUGUCUAUGCACCAUGUAUAUGCAGUGCCCAUGGAGGCCAGAAGAGGGCAUCAGAUCCCUCUGGAACUGGAGUUACAAAUGGUUGUGAGCCGCCAUGUGGAUGCUGGGAAUUGAACCCAGGUCCUCUGAAAAGCAGCCAGUGAUCUUAACCAUUGAGCCAUCUCUAUAGCCUCCACCAAUGCUAUCGUGAUGCUCUCACUGAACAUAACAUGUAACAGGUCUUCAGCCUUCUGUCUCCUAUCACACACCACCUUGUUUUACCUUAACUAUUCCUUUUACCAUUUAGUGGAACCAUCUGUAUGCCACGUCUGCUGCCAGCAAUUGAGAGUUCAGAGAUGCCUCAAGGAUUUCAUAUACAUCAUCUCUUUUAGAGCUCUCAAUGCCUUGAGGUGACAGGAAGGACUGGUAGGUACCUCUUAUACAGAUGCGAAAAGGAGAUCUUGUAUUGUGUAUCUUCCACUGAAAAGAGGUCUGGCUCCCACACUUCUCUGUAAUACCUGGAUUCCUCCCAUGGACAAGCCCCUUGCUCCCUCCAGUUUCCUGCAUCCUUUCUCCUGGUAAACUUUUAGUCUCAUCUCCAAGCUCAAGUCAGUCCUAAAGCUCUUCUGUGUGGUUGCACAAUCUAUAUACUCCACACUGACACCCAGGCAAGGGGCUGCAGGGGGCUGAUGUCCAGACUGGGUUCCUCGCCAAGUCAUGUGGCUGUCUGUUGCUGGGUAUUUGUACACUGUGUGAAGAUGAGUCAUUGUGACCGGUUUAAUAAAAAGCUGAACAGCCAAUAGCUAGACAGGAGAAGUUAGGUGGGACUUUCAGGCAGAGAGAGAAACUGAGGGGAUGAAUUGAGGCACAUGAGAGAUGUCAUUGAGACACGGAGUUGGACAUACAGAAUGGAGGAGAGGUAAAAUACCACGUGGCAAAAUCAGAUGAUUAAUAGAAACUGGUUAAUUUAAGUUAUAAGAGCUAGUUGGAAACAAGCCUAAGCUAAGGACAAGCAUUCAUAAUUAAUAAUAAGUUUCUGUGUCAUUAUUUGGGGGCUGGCAGUCCCCAAAGAAAGUCUGACAAGAAAGUACAACUACUUUGGCACCCAACAUAGGAUCAUGUAUAUCCACAUAGGGCCCAAGAAAGCUGAAAAAAAAAAAAAAGUUCCGAACAUGGAGCCAGACAUGACUUCUUAGUAACUGCAUCUCCUAAGCAGGCCCAAUGCUAGCAGUGUACAGAGAUGCGGCUCUUUUGAGAGGCCUUGCUGUGCAGCUGAGCACUUGAAAGCCUGCACACUACUCAGCACUAGGUACAGACUGCAGCACAGACACAACCUUCCAGAACUGAGAUGGUUAGGCGAGGUGUGGCUGGGACAGUCAGGUGUGGCUCCCAUCACUGCCUGUGGACCUGAAGAGGACAGAGUCAGCCGCCAGCACCAUGUGCUUAGCCAGCCACACAGUGGAGUGCCUGGCCAUUUACAGUUUGUUUUCCAUAGUCAGAGGAGGCUGCAGACUUUGCAGAGAAGACUGCUGCUGUGGAAUGUUCUGUAUGGCAAAUAUGUUAAUAAAUAAACACUGAUUGGCCAGUAGCCAGACAGGAAGUAUAGGCGGGACUAACAGAGAGGAGAAUUGAGGGAACAGGAAGGGAAGGAGGAGACUGCCUGCAGCCGCCGCCAGGACAAGGAAGAUGUAAGGUACCAGUAAGCCACGAGCCAUGUGGCAAAGUAUAGAUUAAUAGAAAUGGGCUGAAUAUAAGAGUAAGAGCUAGACAAUGAUAGGCCUGAGCUAAUGGCCAAGCAGUUUAAAUAAUGUAAGAGUCUGUGUGUUUAUUUUAUAAGUGGGCUAAGGGACUGCCGGGGCUUGGCGGGACCUGGGGAGAAAACUCCAGCUACAGACUGCAAAAAGUCAGGUCCAUGCUGAGAAAACCUCUGAAUAGGUAGAGUAUGCUUGAAAAUGUGUUUUGAUAGCUGGGCGGUGGUGGCGCAUGCCUUUAAUCCCAGCACUCGGGAGGCAGAGCCAGGCGGAUCUUUGUGAGUUCGAGGCCAGCCUGGUCUACAGAGCGAGAUCCAGGACAGGCACCAAAACUACACAGAGAAACCCUGUCUCAGAAAAAAAAAAAAAAAGAAAGAAAGAAAAGAAAAUGUGCUUAGAUGCUGAAGAAAGAAAAGAAAAUGGGUAAAGUCAUAGAAAAAAUAGUUUAAAAAUUAAAGUCUUUAAAGAGAGAGUAAAGUAAUAUAAAAUAAAUAAGCCACAAAAGGAUGGGAAAUAUAACACAGGAUGUCUGGAUCCUGUAUAGCACUUUAGCAACUUUAAAUUUUUUAAAUGCUAAUGAACAAAAAAUGGCAGCUGCUGAGAGAUAUUGGAUUGUGGGAAAAACUACUGAAUUAAACGAGUCUAUAUAUUUUAAGAAUGUCUUAACUUUAGAAUGGAAGUAAAAAAAUGUGCUGUGUUGGGGGAGAGGUGUGCCUUUGUUUCCACAGGAAACAAAAAGCUAUGGAUUCCUUCAAAAUUAAUAAAGAUGAGAUUUAAUUGGGAAACCUCCUGAAAAUCUUGGCUGCAGACAUGAAGGAAGAAACCAAGAAAAACAAUAAGACAGGUGAUGUAUAAAGUUGAUCCCUGGACAUGGGCACAGCUCUGAGACUGGAUGAGACAUGAUAAAUCUUGUUAGCUACAGAGUUCUCAUGACUUAUUAUUACAUGCCAUAUUUUCAUAUGGCAUGGAAUGAGAUUUAUAUUACAGUUUGAUUAUACAGUCCAAAUGGACUUAUAAAGUUGACAGACGUCUUUUACCUGCUCAAACAUGGAACAGAGAAUCAUCUUUAGUUGAUUUGUGCACACUGCACAUUCCAUACUUGUGUUAAUGCAGAUAUGCAUGUUACCUUUAAAAGUUUCUGUGUUGUCAGGAAAAAAAAAAAAGGACCAGACAUCAAUGGAGACAAGUAGCCUAGGUGAUCCAGCCUCUCAGAAUGCCUCUGUUGCAGCUUCCUCAACAAUCUGUAUCCAGAACAACUUCAAAGCAGCUGGCUGAGAUGGUCCAGCCUCACAGACUGCUCCAGCCAGGACUUCAGUUAAGCCCUGCACUUUCCCACCACACAGAGACUGGACAACAAAUGAUACCGCUAGCUCUCCCAGGACUUGACCAUUAUCCCAAUUUUCUCAGAGUCCCCUAAAGAUGCUAUCACCCCCAGACAACAGGAAGUAAUUUUAAGAACAUGAUGCCUACAUUCCUGAGAGGUGGGGUGGAUGGUUUGGGAUAUUUGUCAUUGUUUAGAGGUAUUUGUGGUGGUAUUGUGUUCCCCAAAAUAUUGUGCAUGCUAAUAAACUUAUCUGGGGUCAGAGAAGAGAACAGCCACAAUAUUAAACAUAGAGGAUAGGCAGUGGUAGCACACGUCUUUAAUCCUAGCAUUCAAGAGGUAGAAAUCCCUCUGGAUCUCUGUGAGUUCAAAGCCACAUUGGAAACAGCCAGGCAUGGUGACACAGCCUUUAAUUCCAAGAAGUGAGCCUUUAAUCCCAGGGAGUGAUGACAGAAAGCAAAAAGAUACAUAAGGCGUGAAGACCAGAAACUAGCAGCAUUUUGGCUGGUUAAGCUUUCAGGCUUCUAGCAGCAGUUCAGCUGAGAGCCAUUCAGAUAUGAGGACACAGAGGCUUCCAGUCUGAGGAAACAAGAUCAGCUGAGAAGUUGGCCAGGUGAGGUUAGCUGUGGCUUGUUCUGCUUCUCUGAUCUUCCAGCAUUCACCCCAAUAACUGGCCUCAGGUUUGAUUUUAUUUUAUUUUUUAUUAUUAUUAUUAUUAUUAUUAUUAUUAUUAUUAUUAUUAUUUUGGUUUUUUGAGACAGGGCUUCUCUGUGUAGCUUUGGUGCCUGUCCUGGAUCUCACUCUGUAGACCAGGCUGGCCUCGAACUCACAGAGAUCCGCCUGCCUCUGCCUCCCAAGUGCUGGGAUUAAAGAUGUGCGCCACCACUGCCCGGCUGAUUUUAUUAAUAAAUACCUUUAAGAUUUGUGCUACAGGUAUUGGUUGUAAAUUGUUACUGGUUGUGGUAAGGGAGGAAAAAAGCAAGGGAGGUUAGAUUCAAGGAUCUGUUUCUCAAAAGAAGAAGUGGUGAUACAUAAAUGACAGGAUAAAAGGAUAGAUUAUUAAAUCUACUUUUAAACUAAAAAGUAACUAUCAAUCUCAAAUAUUUUACAUUGGUAUGGAUUUUUGUAUAUUUAUACAAAUUUAAGAUUAUUUUGUUAUAACAUGCUGUAUAUAUGUUUCUACUCUUGUUUAAGGUAUUUUUGUAUAUUGAUAAAAAUUUAAAGUUAUUUUUGUUAUAACAUACUGUAAGGUAAUGUACCUAUGAGGCUCAUUUAAAAAUGUAAUGUAAAGUUCUAGUUCUUGAAAGCUAUUAUUAUAAACUAUUUAGGAUAAUUUAAAAAUGCAGGUUAGUAGUUAUCUAUAACAAUCAAACUUGUAGUCAUGUUAGGUAUGUUUUCAAGGUCAAACAGAGACAUUUUUAGAUACCGCGAUGCUCUUCACCACUUCAGAGACCUACCAAAUAUAGCAUUUAAGAUGUUUUAAUAACAUAAGACUUUUCAUGACAGUGAGGUAUAUCUGUUCCUGGCAGCAUCAAUUUACUUCAGAGAAGAUGAUGGGCAUUGAAGAACCUCCAUAUGGAGUUUGCUUUCAAUGUGGCAAAGCCAGCCAUUGGGCAAGAAACUGCCCUUGACUCAAUUGCUGACAGUAUGCUGUCCACACUGGACAAGCAGAACACAAAAGAAGGCGACUGUCAAACUUUGCCAAGACAGGGUAGGACAGUUCUUCAAAAAUUUCCUGCUUUACAAAAAAGUCUGUCAGAUAUUCUAGGCCUGUAGGUCCAAGAUAGAUGCCCCAACGUUGCAGAGGAAUCUUGGGUGACUGUCCAGGCAGCCAGCUGUUUCUGUCAUUUCUAUAGUUUUGGAAGUUGUUUUCUCUGUACUUCCUGUUUACUCAGGUAAUAGUAUAUCCUUCUCAGGUGUUUGAUGGGGUUGAAGACUAGAUAGUUAUACUGUUUUCUUUGUUACCAAGUUCAAAAGAGAAACUUACAAAAGAGAUAUAAAGUUUAUAAGGUUGAGAGACAUAAAAGUUUAAGUCAUCCAUCUAAGAAAAUGUUUUUAGGUCUAAAAAGAUACUUUUAGAUUGGUAAUACAAGUUAUAAUAGAAAGCGGUUAUAUAUAAAACUUUGGACUUAUCAAGAGAGAUAGAAAAUAGAGCAAUUUCUCCGAAUUGCCAAUUACAAAUGGACUGAGUAUUGUAAAUGUAAUUCUUACCUGAUAAUUGUUCUUAUUGUAUAUAGUUUUACUAUGUCAGAGUUAAAACCUCUCCUUUUUAUUUAGACAAAAGGGGGGAAAUGUUGUGGGAUAUUUGUACAGUGUGUGAAGAUGUGUUGUUGUGAUUGGUUUAAUAAAAAGCUGAAUGGCCAAAAACUAAGCAGAAGAGGUUAGGCUGGACUUCUGGGCAGAGAGAGAAACUAAAGGGAUGAAUCUAGGCACAUGAGAGAUGCCAGUGAGACACAGAGGGAGUCGGACAUACAGAAUAGAGGAGAGGUAGAAAGCCAUGUGGCAAAAUGUAGAUUAAUAGAAACUGGUUAAUUUAAGUUAUGAGAGCUAGCUGGAAACAAGCCUAAGCUAAGGCCAAACUUUCAUAAUUAAUAAGUCUUUGUGUCAUUAUUUGGGGGCUGGUGGUCCCAAAAGAAAGUCCGACAAGAAAGUCCAACUACAACUGUCUACAGUGAAGAAGGAGCCCUCUUCUGACUGGUCUGCAAAUAAGAGGCAUCUUUACAUGAUUUGUGUGAAGGCAUCACAGAGGCCAGCUGUAAACGGAUCCCCUCUGGCUUCCAGAAAUGCUCCUUUGCUUGUUCCUGCUUCAUCAGAUGCCCUUGGCAAGCUUAGCCUGAUCAAAACCAACCUGGAAACUACGACACCAAAGCUUGUGGCCCUUUUGGUGCUGUGUAUCCCAGAUAGUGGCACGUCCAUCCAGUCAUCUAGCCAGGGACCUGGCACUGACCUGUGUGCUUCUCUGUUCCCCAGAAUCCUCUAGUCCUGCUGAUUCCAACUCCUGUGUCUGCUGAGUCUCUCUCCACAUCUCCUCAUUUAGUUCUUGCUCUGAACCAGUCCAAGAUCCCCCUUCUUGAUCUUUCUGUUCCAAACUUAUUACACUUCCAAAACAUCUCUGAAGUAAAGAGUUCUUUUUUUUUUUAAGUCCUACAGUAUCUUCUCAUUUCCAACUAAAGAGCAAUAUCACACACAAAACCAGCAAAGCCCUCUGUGAGUGAGCCACUCCUUCCUGCCCAUGCUUCACCACGAGCCUCUCCACCUCUGGACCUGUCUGUGGCUUUGAACAGGCCCAGCCCUCUAGCUCAGGUAUCCUGCUCCACACUUUUCUUCCAUCCUCCUAUCUUUUCCUCACCCUCUAAGACCCAGACCCAGCUACAGCAUCUAGCUAAGGCUUUACAAGGAGUAGGUGUUCAACAAGUGUUCAGUAUAUGACUAGAGAAAAGACGGGUGUACCAAGUCAUGAAAUGGCUGACUGCAUGUGGCAGUUGUCCUGUGAAAUGGCUUUGUGUUUACAUAUUUCACACAUGAUACCUGUUAUAUGAUAUAUAACAUACUGUUAUGUGAUAUAUAAUACAUCAUACUGUUAUAUGACAGCUACUUGUCUACAUAUCCAUCUCUGCAACUGUGAGCUCCUUAGGUGAGUCCUAGUGUCUAGCUCACUCUGAAUGCUCAGCUCCAUACACAGUGGACAAUAUCUAGAGAAAGAGGGAGAAAAUGUAGCAAACAGGAUGCCAACAUUCAUGAGCCAUCUAAGGCUACAUAGUGAGAUCCUGUCUAAAAGACAGGUGGAGUAGGGAGAGAUGACUAGGUCAUGAGGGCAGUGCCCUCAUGAACAUGCUGCUAUUGAGGAAAUAUUCUGAAAAGCUAACGAAAGGCAGGGACCAUCUUCCCCCUCCAAGUUAAGGGUUUGUAGAAUUUUGCAUGGAUAUUUGAAUUAGGAACUUCAGUCAAAAAAGUGUUUCUAUAGUUGAGCAUGGUGGCAUAUGCUUGUAAUAUCAGCUCUAUAGAGGCAAAGGCAAGGUCAGCCUGAGAUGCAUCAUGAGUUCCAGGCCAGCUUGGGCUUAUCGAAUGAGAAGAUGUCUCAAACAAACAAACAAACAAACAAACAAACAAACAAACAAACAAGAAUCAGAACGCAUUUCUAAGCUGGGUGAGGUGGCUCGGGCCUAUAACUUAGGAUCUGCAAAGCAGAGGCAAGAAGACUGUAAACUGGAGUCUAGCUGGAGCCAAAGGUUAAGACCUUGUCUCAAAAAACAAAAAUACCUCACUAAACCAGAUGGGAUGGUACAUGCCUUAUAAUCUUAGUGCUUGGCUGAAGCAGGAGAAUCAUUCCUUUGAGGCCAACCUAGGUUGUAUAGUGAGACUCUGAAUCAAAAAACAAAAGGCCCAGGAGUGGUGACACACAUCUUUAAUUCCAGUACCAGGGAAACAGAGGCAGAUGGACCUCUGAAUUUGAGGCCAGUCUGGUCUAUGUAGCAAGUUCCAGGCCAGCCAGAGCUACAUAGUGAGGCCCUGUUUCAAAACAAAACAGAAAAUCAUCCUAAAAAGCCAAAAGGAAUUCUGAAAGAAAGGGGUUGGGUUGGGGCUGGAGAGAUGGCUCAGUGGUUAAGAGCACUGCCUGUUCUUCCAGAGGUCCUGAGUUCAAUUCCCAGCAACCACAUGGUGGCUCACAACCAUCUGUAAUGAGAUCUGGUGCCCUCUUCUGGCCUGCAAGCAUGCAUGUAGGCAGAACACUGUAUACAUAAUAAAUAAUAAAUAAAUAAAUCUUUGAAAAAAAAAAAGAAA